GGGAUGUACUCAGAGCAGAGGGACUAAAGAAACAGCUCCUCUGUUUACAACACACACACCCAACGGCAAUCUGGGUUCACUGUGAUGAGGGGCACAAAACUUGGGGCCUUCCUACCCUACAUGUGUCCCCCUACACAU
rnacentral:snoRNA from 1 species